AGAGAGAUGGAAGUGAAAGAGAUGGAGAGGAAAGAGAGAUGGAGAGGAAAGAGGCGGAGAGGAAAGAGGCGGAGAGGAAAGAGGCGGAGAGGAAAGAGAGGUGGAGAGGAAAGAGAGAUGGAGAGGAAAGAGAGAUGGAGGUGAAAGAGAGAUGGAGGUGAAAGAGAGAUGGAGGUGAAAGAGAGAUGGAGGUGAAAGAGAGAUCAGGGUGAAAGAGAGAUGGAGGUGGAGGUGAAAGAGAGGUGGAGGUGAAAGAGAGGUGGAGGUGAAAGAGCGUGGACAGGAAGGAGAGGUCGAGGUGAAAGAGGUCGAGUUGAAAGAGGUGGAGAGGAAGGAGAGGUAGAGAUGAAAGAGGUGGACAGGAAGGAGAGGUGGAGAUGAAGGAGAGGUAGACAGGAAGGAGAGGUAGACAAAGGAGAGGUAGACAGGAAGGAGAGGUAGACAAGAAGGAGAGGUGGACAGGAAGGAGAGGUGGACAGGAAGGAGAGGUGGACAGGAAGGAGA
ensembl:lncRNA